GACGAACGCUGGCGGCGUGCUUAACACAUGCAAGUCGAACGGAAAGGCCCUGCUUGCAGGGUACUCGAGUGGCGAACGGGUGAGUAACACGUGGGUGAUCUGCCCUGCACUUCGGGAUAAGCCUGGGAAACUGGGUCUAAUACCGGAUAGGAGCCAUUUUUAGUGUGAUGGUUGGAAAGUUUUUUCGGUGUAGGCUGAGCUCGCGGCCUAUCAGCCUGUUGGUGGGGUAAUGGCCUACCAAGGCGGCGACGGGUAGCCGGCCUGAGAGGGUGGACGGCCACAUUGGGACUGAGAUACGGCCCAGACUCCUACGGGAGGCAGCAGUGGGGAAUAUUGCACAAUGGGCGCAAGCCUGAUGCAGCGACGCCGCGUGGGGGAUGACGGCCUUCGGGUUGUAAACUCCUUUCGCUAGGGACGAAGCUUUUUGUGACGGUACCUAGAUAAGAAGCACCGGCUAACUACGUG
rnacentral:rRNA from 1 species